UACGUAGGGACCAAGCGUUGUUCGGAUUUACUGGGCGUAAAGGGCGCGUAGGCGGCAAUUCAAGUCAGCUGUGAAAUCUCCGGGCUUAACUCGGAACGGUCAGCUGAUACUGCUUUGCUAGAGUGCAGAAGGGGCAAUCGGAAUUCUUGGUGUAGCGGUGAAAUGCGUAGAUAUCGCUUGGAACGCCAAUGGUGAAAACAGCUCGCUGGGGGUGUGCUGACGCUGAGACACGAAAGCCAGGGGAGCGAACGGG
rnacentral:rRNA from 1 species